rnacentral:lncRNA from 1 species
UUGAGUGCAAACAGGCUAUAUGUGUUUCAUGGCCCAUCCACUUGCACAAAAAAACAAAUUGAUGGCCCACCCAAACUGAUGAAAAUAAUUUCAUGACCCAUCCUUAUUUCCUCUGGCCCAUCCAAGCAGUUACUUUAUGACCCGGUCCCCAAUCGGUCACUGAAGUGAGCUGAAUAGAAGUGAGGUUCAGGUUUGAUCUCCGCAACAUCCCACGGGCUCAUGCAGUACCUAUUUGAUUGGUUAACCGGUUAUAUCAAACGCAUCUGAUUGGUUCAGAAUGGUCCCUUCAUAUGGUUGCGGUAGUGGAAAUCAAACCUGAACCUCUCUAAGAAGGUAUGUAUGUCUUGUGUACUGUGAGGACAAUGGGUUUUUGGCAUAAUGAAGCAACUUAUAAUUUUCCCUAUUGUUGAAAGUCUCUUUCCCCCAUAUUUUUUUUUCAAACUUUUUUGGUGCACGAAUUUUUUUCUUUCUGUUUCCCCUGCUCGGUUUUUAUUUUUGCUUCCCCCCUCCCCCCAUCACUUUUCUAAUGGUUCGCCCCUUACCAACUGAGCUACAGGGUCCAGUUUUUGGGCUCUAACCACAACUUCAUGUAUAUUCACUACGGGUAUACUGCCAUGUUAAGGUGUCGGUAAACAUCUAGAUUUUGUUGGCAGCUCACUCGACUAAUAGUUGAAGGCUGGUAUUGUAGACGGCAAUAGACCUUUCCCCUUAUGAGUGAAAUUUUGAUCUAGACAAGUCUGAACAAAAAUUUCAUCACAGCUUGAAAGAGCAUCACAAAAUUAGUAAUAUUCCGAAGUUUCGUUGCAAAA